rnacentral:rRNA from 1 species
UACGGGGGGGUAAGCGUUGUUCGGAAUUACUUGGGCGUAAAGGGCUCGUAGGCGGCUCGUCGCGUCGACCGUGAAAACCCGCGGCUUAACUGCGGGCUUGCGGUUGAUACGGCGGCUAGAGUUCGGUAGGGGAGACUGGAAUUCCUGGUGUAGCGGUGAAAUGACGCAGAUAUACAGGAGGAACACCGGUGGCGAAGGCGGGUCUCUGGGCCGAUACUGACGCUGAGGAGCGAAAGCGUGGGGAGCGAAACGGG